ACUGAGCUGGCUCAGUCAGUAGAGCAGGUGACUCUUGAUCUUAGGGUUGUGAGUUCAAGCCUCAUGUUGGGUG
rnacentral:tRNA from 1 species